rnacentral:rRNA from 1 species
GAUGAACGCUGACAGAAUGCUUAACACAUGCAAGUCUACUUGAACUUCGGUUUGGGUGGCGGACGGGUGAGUGACGCGUAAAGAACUUGCCUCACAGAUAGGGACAACAUAUGGAAACGUAUGCUAAUACCUGUUAUUAUGAUUUUAGGGCAUCCUAGAAUUAUGAAAGCUAUAUGCAAUGUGAGAGAGCUUUGCGUCCCAUUAGCUAGUUGGAGAGGUAACGGCUCACCAGGGCGAUGAUGGGUGGCCGGCCUGAGAGGGUGAUCGGCAACAAGGGGACGGGGACACGGCCCGAACUCCAACGGGGGGAAGAAGUGGGGAAAAUUGAAAAAGGGACCAAGAGUCUGAUCCAGAAAUUCUGUGUGCACGAUGAAGUUUUUCGGAAUGUAAAGUGCUUUCAGUUGGGAAGAAAAAAAUGACGGUACCAACAGAAGAAGUGACGGCUAAAUACGUG